rnacentral:ncRNA from 1 species
AAAAGUAGGGAAAUACCUCGUCAUUUAAAUUAGUGACCUGCAUGAACGGAGCUAUGAGGUUCUCACUGUCCCAAACUGUUUCUCAGCGAACCAACUGUAGUGGGAACGGUCACUAGAUAUCCAGCGGGGAAAGAAGACCCUGUAGAGCUUCACUUUGGUCUAGUCUUGUAUAGUUCCUGCGGGGGUGUAGACUAGGUGGGAGAGCAAUCGAUUCUGAAAAACCACUACCCUGUUUGGAAUUAUGCUUACCUAUCACAAGGAAUAGGACUAGAUAGAAAGUUUGGCUGGGGCGGCACACCUUCGAAAGAGCAGCGAAGGUGUCCUAAGUUGAGCUCAGUGAGGACAGAAAUCUCACGUUGAGGAUAAGGCCAAAAGCUCAAUUUACUGUGCCUUUUUGUACUAGGAUCAGUUACGAAAGUAAGGCCUAACGAUCCCUAAAUAGCCUCAGGUGCGUGAGGAUUGGGGUGACAGACAAGUUACCUCCGGGACAACUGGCUUGUGGCUGCUAAGAGAUCAAAUCAACGCAGCUUUUUGAUUCUUCGAUGUCGGCUCUUCCUAUCCUAGUGAUGUACAAGUUGCUAAGGGUCGGAUUGUUCACCCGUAUUAGGGAUCGUGAGCUGGGUUUAGACCGUCGUGAGCCAGGUUUGUUUUAUCCUACUGGAUAUAGCAUCAUGAUAGUAGAUUGAUUUAGUACGAGAGGAACUGUUGAUUAUGGCCUCUGGUUAGCGAUUAUCGGAAACGGUAUGUCGCGCAGCUACGCCGUCUGGGAUAAUGGCUGAAAGCCUCUUAAGCCAGAAGCCCAUCUAGAAAGUGAUGCACGUGAUGUUGGACCGAUACGAAUAAUCAUACUCAAAAGGUCCGCUUCAUAGGUAACCCAAUGUAGAAGACAUUGUGUGAACGAAGGUACUGUAAGCAGUGGAGUGGCAUUACGUCCACGACCUGUUGAGGUUCAGCUUCGCUUCUAGGUUUCC